UGGGGAAUUUUGGACAAUGGACGCAAGUCUGAUCCAGCCAUGCCGCGUGCGGGAAGAAGGCCUUCGGGUUGUAAACCGCUUUUGUCAGGGAAGAAACGAGUUUCUCUAAUACAGAGACUUAAUGACGGUACCUGAAGAAUAAGCACCGGCUAACUACGUGCCAGCAGCCGCGGUAAUACGUAGGGUGCAAGCGUUAAUCGGAAUUACUGGGCGUAAAGCGUGCGCAGGCGGUGAUGUAAGACAGAUGUGAAAUCCCCGGGCUCAACCUGGGACCUGCAUUUGUGACUGCAUCGCUGGAGUGCGGCAGAGGGGGAUGGAAUUCCGCGUGUAGCAGUGAAAUGCGUAGAUAUGCGGAGGAACUCCGAUGGCGAAGGCAAUCCCCUGGACCUGUACUGACGCUCAUGCACGAAAGCGUGGGGAGCAAACA
rnacentral:rRNA from 1 species